AACGCACAUUGCGCCCUUUGGUAUUCCGAAGGGCAUGCCUGUUCAAGCGUCAUUUUCACCCCUCAAGCCCCCGGCUUGGUGUUGGACGGCCUGGUUUAGGCAUUCCUAAACCCCUCCUAAAGACAAUGACGGCGGCUGUUGCACCCCCGGUACACUGAGCUUCGUAACUGAGCACGUAUCGGAUUAAAGGGUCGGCGGCAUCCGGUCUCCACCUUAUUUUCUUUCUAAGGUUGACCUCGGAUCAGGUAGGAAUACCCGCUGAACUUAA
rnacentral:misc_RNA from 1 species